GACGAACCACACGAACGUUAUUCGGAAUCACUGGGCUUAAAGGGUGCGUAGGCGGCGCGGAAAGUAGGGUGUGAAAUCCCUCGGCUUAACCGAGGAAUAGCGCUCUAAACUACCGUGCUCGAGGGAGAUAGAGGUGAGCGGAACUUAGGGUGGAGCGGUGAAAUGCGUUGAUAUCCUAAGGAACACCGGUGGCGAAAGCGGCUCACUGGAUCUCUUCUGACGCUGAUGCACGAAAGCCAAGGGAGCAAACAGG
rnacentral:rRNA from 1 species